UUGGAAUUCUCCCCCUGAACCUCUCCUCUGCAUUCCACCCAGCCCUGGGCCCAGGUCUGUGGCCCCUGCCUCCACUGUACCCGGAGCGCCCCAGAACAGAAACAGGUGCUCCCCAAGGGACUGUUACUGAUUAACAUCCCGCUUGGAGGUGGUGUUUCUACAAAAGCGAAGACAGAGACAGGCUUCCCAUAUUUCCCAGCUGCUUUUCCAACCCGGAAUACAACUGGAAUUCCGCUGUGAGAGCUGCUGCUUCUCAACCCCAGGUGUUGUUCUGGAAGGAUCCAGCGCCUCGUGGGAUGGACUUGCUCCAGUGGCUGAGCAGCUCAUGUGAAGAAAGGCGAUGGUGGAUCCCACAGAGGCCCCCUGGAUCCCCAGUCCAGAGCUGGGCACCCCGUGGUGGUGGUGUGGGGGGGGGAAGAGACAGUAAGACCUGCUCCGCUGAUCCGAGCAUAAGGUUUUCUGGAAUGUGAAUCAUACUUGGUCAAGAUCCCAAAAAUAAAAUGCAAAUCUUCCUCUGAUUUAUAGUAGCUGUCUUCACAGGAAACUCAGCGGGAAUGAAAACCCUGGGGGUAACCGGUGUUUUCAUAUGAAAUCAAACACCCGCAGGACUGUGAGGGUCUGGGCUCAGAUGAUUUUUGGCCAGGUUCUUUACCCGUCUGGACUUGCAGUGGAACAUCGGUCAUGUGGGACCCGGGUCACUCCAUCGAGAGGGACAGUCCUGUGCAGUCCAGGAUAUCUGACAUCUCUGACCCUCAUGGGCUAAAUGCCAACCGCAUUUCCUCAAAUCUUUGUGGAAACCAAAGUGCCCCAACAUGUUUCCAGAGUGUUCCUUGGAGCAGCACCUGCUCAGCUGAGAAGGACUACCCGAUGAGGUCAAGGUGAGGGGUGCAGGUGGACUUUUCAGCCUUGACCUUCCCAUCUGCAAUGUCCUGCAGCUGACGGGGGAGGGGCUCCUUCCUGCGGACUGGGGUGGGGGGUGGGGUUCAGCUUUGCCAGAUGUCCGAGAGGGACCAGCGGGCCGAACGCUAUGGAGCGCGGUGUUCACGGAUGGCUUCAGGACUCCACAGAUGUCACUGCGUUGCAUUUGACCCUCUGCGAGGCUCUCACAACGCCUGCCAGGGUUUCAGAAAAGAUCUUUCCAAGGGAAGGCCGCAGAAUGUAUUGGGAAGAGUGUGAGGGCCUCCGCCAGCCAACCCUGGGCCCCCCGCUAUAUUCACUGGGGAAUGCAACUCAGCCGCUCCGUGCUCGCUUCCCCCCCCCCUUUGUAGAACGGAGUCCCUGGCCUAGGACUCAGCAGCACCCAGAGGCAGCAAGGAGCUGGACAUCAAGUGCCAGCCCCCAGAAGUGUGGCUUAGAAGCUCUGUGCCUUUGGCAAGGACAUGAGUUCUGCGCUGUCCCCAGCAGGUCACACUCAGUCCCUACUGCUGUCGCUGGGGCUCCUUCCCAGCUGUGCACCCUGAACUAGCUCCCCACCCUCACUCGGCCUCGGUUUUCCCAUCUAUAAAAUGGGCUCCCAAGGCCGAACUCUUAGCACUGCUGUACCUGCAGCUCAUGGGGUCGUGCAGGUGAAGAGCUUGAUGCCUGGCCCGAUGAGAUAAUGAAUGGUUGUUGCUGUGUGACACUGGGUCAGAAGGGACGUCAGAGGUCACACGGCACCCAGAUUCAGACUUUACAGAGGAGGAAAUGUGAGAGACCACCGUGAGCUGGCUCUGUGUGCACGAAGCUUGGGUAGGUGGGAGGUGCGAUGUGGAAAAGAAAAGGCUUCCCAGCCUCUGACUCCUCCUCCACCCAGUGUCUGGGAGAACAGCUCCCACCGCCCGGGCCCCGGGCCCCUCUCUAUGGGCCGGCAAGGCAGGCACAUGCCGGGAGCGCAUGCUGCUUAGCCCUGCAAGCGGCAGGGACGUCUGUGACAAGCACUCAGCCCGGUGCCUGGCAGGGCGAAUGCGGGCUGCUGUCAGCAGGACUCAUGGCCCUGCCUGGGGCAGGUGGACGGACUGACAGCCUGUCCAGGCUUCCAAGAGCUACGUGCAAGGGUCUGGGUGGAAGCGGUGAUUGGAAGGAACAGUUGCCUAGUUACCAAAAGCUCUUGAGGGAGCUCACCUAGUCGAGAUGCAGCUAUCCUUACAAGAGAAAGGCCUUCCCAAGGCCUUCAGGAGGCCCCAUGAAGACAGAGGCGGGGACUGGGACGUGUGUCUACAAGUCCUGGGACGCCAGGGCCCGCCAGCAGCCACCACAGCUAGGUGACAAGCCCAGAAUGGGUUCUGUCUCUGAGCCUCCUGCGGGAAAAACCCUGCUGACGCCUUAUGCUCCCACUUUGGGCCUCCAAAACUGUGAAAGAAUUUGUUUCUGUGUCUGAAGACACCUCUCAUGUGGUGACUGAUCGCAACGGUUGUAGGAAACGAAUAAGUUAUGUAUUGCCAAUCUCCGGCUGCAUAGCGGGCGCUAGCGUUCCCCCCAGCACUGCGUGCCCAUGGUCUCCCCACCAUCCGCGGGCUGUCCUGGGAAGCUCUCACGGCUUCGCCGACCCGACAGACAGGGAACGGCAUCUCCGUGGAGUUUUAACUUGCAUUCUUUUAAAAUUGGAAGUGAAGUUGAACAUGUUUUCAUAAAUUCCAGCAGUGCAGAUGAGGGCUAUCUGCCCAGGAAUGACCUUGCAAAUAUAUUCUCUCCAGUUUUCAUUCCUGUUGCAAAGUAUGAAUUUUUGACCAGGCAAUUAAAAAACAUACUUCUUAUGUA